GUGCCAGCAGCCGCGGUAAUACGUAGGGGGCCAGCGUUGUCCGGAAUCAUUGGGCGUAAAGCGCGCGUAGGCGGUCAGAUAAGUCCGGUGUAAAAGUCAAAGGCUCAACCUUUGAAUGCCGCUGGAAACUGUCUGGCUUGAGUCCGGGAGGGGCGAGUGGAAUUCCUGGUGUAGCGGUGAAAUGCGCAGAUAUCAGGAGGAACACCCAUGGCGAAGGCAGCUCGCUGGAACGGUACUGACGCUGAGGCGCGAAAGCGUGGGGAGCGAACAGGAUUAGAUACCCUAGUAGUCC
rnacentral:rRNA from 1 species